UUUUUCCCCAAGGGGGGGGCGGGGGUAACCCCGGGGAACCCCCCCAAAGGGGGGGAAAAUUUGGAAACGGUUUUAAUCCCCAAAAAACCUUGUUCCCAUGACUACCGCUAAAAGAUGCUUUAGCUUUCCCUUUUGGAUGGACCUGCGGUGCAUUAGCUUGUUGGUGGGGUAACGCCUACCAAGGCGAUGAUGCAUAGCCGAAUUGAGAGGCUGAUCGGCCACAAUGGGACUGAGACCCGGCCCAUACUCCUACGGGAGGCAGCAGUAGGGAAUCUUCCACAAUGGGCGCAAGCCUGAUGGAGCAACACCGCGUGAGUGAAGAAGGGUUUCGGCUCGUAAAGCUCUGUUGUUAAAGAAGAACACGUAUGAGAGUAACUGUUCAUACGUUGACGGUAUUUAACCAGAAAGUCACGGCUAACUACGUGCCAGCAGCCGCGGUAAUACGUAGGUGGCAAGCGUUAUCCGGAUUUAUUGGGCGUAAAGAGAGUGCAGGCGGUUUUCUAAGUCUGAUGUGAAAGCCUUCGGCUUAACCGGAGAAGUGCAUCGGAAACUGGAUAACUUGAGUGCAGAAGAGGGUAGUGGAACUCCAUGUGUAGCGGUGGAAUGCGUAGAUAUAUGGAAGAACACCAGUGGCGAAGGCGGCUACCUGGUCUGCAACUGACGCUGAGACUCGAAAGCAUGGGUAGCGAACAGGAUUAGAUACCCUGGUAGUCCAUGCCGUAAACGAUGAGUGCUAGGUGUUGGAGGGUUUCCGCCCUUCAGUGCCGGAGCUAACGCAUUAAGCACUCCGCCUGGGGAGUACGACCGCAAGGUUGAAACUCAAAGGAAUUGACGGGGGCCCGCACAAGCGGUGGAGCAUGUGGUUUAAUUCGAAGCUACGCGAAGAACCUUACCAGGUCUUGACAUCUUGCGCCAACCCUAGAGAUAGGGCGUUUCCUUCGGGAACGCAAUGACAGGUGGUGCAUGGUCGUCGUCAGCUCGUGUCGUGAGAUGUUGGGUUAAGUCCCGCAACGAGCGCAACCCUUGUUACUAGUUGCCAGCAUUAAGUUGGGCACUCUAGUGAGACUGCCGGUGACAAACCGGAGGAAGGUGGGGACGACGUCAGAUCAUCAUGCCCCUUAUGACCUGGGCUACACACGUGCUACAAUGGACGGUACAACGAGUCGCGAACUCGCGAGGGCAAGCAAAUCUCUUAAAACCGUUCUCAGUUCGGACUGCAGGCUGCAACUCGCCUGCACGAAGUCGGAAUCGCUAGUAAUCGCGGAUCAGCAUUCCCGCGGUUCCCCUGG
rnacentral:rRNA from 1 species